CAUGAUAGUACUACUAUAAAUUCUUUCAUGACAAUAUUUCAUGUUAUUAGGGCUAUUAAUAUUACAAAUUAUUUUGAUUGGAAAUUUGAAACAAGGUAUGGGUCCAUGUAUGGAUUUUCAGAAGUCAGUCCAGACUGAUAUGUCCAGUAAGAUCAAGUAUAUCCUGGUGGUCACUGAAAGAGGCUAUGAACUCUCAUACACAUUCUCUCUCAUGUUGUCGACCAUCCAAGAUGCAACACAUAUCUGUCUAGUUUCCUGGAUAGAUUGUCUUUGUAUCAUGCCCAAGACUAUGUAUUAAAGUCUUAUUAUUUGCUAAU
rnacentral:lncRNA from 1 species